rnacentral:rRNA from 1 species
AACGAACGCUGGCGGCAUGCCUAACACAUGCAAGUCGAACGAGAAGCAUCCUUCGGGAUGUGGACAGUGGCGCACGGGUGAGUAACACGUGGGGACCUGCCCAUUAGUACGGAACAACAGUUGGAAACGGCUGCUAAUACCGUAUACGCCCUUCGGGGGAAAGAUUUAUCGCUAAUGGAUGGACCCGCGCAGGAUUAGCUAGUUGGUAAGGUAACGGCUUACCAAGGCGACGAUCCUUAGCUGGUUUGAGAAGAUGAUCAGCCACAUUGGGACUGAGACACGGCCCAGACUCCUACGGGAGGCAGCAGUGGGGAAUAUUGGACAAUGGGGGCAACCCUGAUCCAGCAAUGCCGCGUGAGUGAAGAAGGCCUUAGGGUUGUAAAACUCUUUCAGAUGGGAAGAUAAUGACGGUACCAUCAGAAGAAGCCCCGGCUAACUCCGUGCCAGCAGCCGCGGUAAUACGGAGGGGGCUAGCGUUGUUCGGAAUUACUGGGCGUAAAGAGUUCGUAGGCGGACUGACAAGUUGGGGGUGAAAUCCCGGGGCUUAACCCCGGAACUGCCUUCAAAACUGUCAGUCUAGAGA